rnacentral:lncRNA from 1 species
CUGCUUCCUCUGCAUCGAAGCCGCUCGCCCUUUGUCUACAUCGCCCCAAACCGGUCUCCCCUCCGCGCGUUGACCACGCCCUGCCUCACUUCGGUCUGCCUGCGAAGCCCAGCCAGCUGGCCUGCCUUGCCUCUUCACCGACCGGGCUGAGGCCCACUGGGUGAGGCCACACCCCAGCGCCCCUGCUCUUGUUUUUUUUCCUCUGUUGGGCUUCCUAUUCACAUUCGGCCCAUGUGAUGUUUUUUCAGGAUCUGCGAAUUUAGCUAUUACCCAAGGAUUUACUGUUUUGCAGAAAACCCCCCGUUCUUCAUGCAUUUAAUAACUAAUAAACCGUGCUUCGGAUUAAAAUGAUUUAAACAUGUUAAAUGCUUAGAAUUUUGUGUAGUUUAAUAAUAUGCCACUUCCACCCAUGUUAAAAUUGUUUAAAAUGUUGUUUGAUUAAAUUUGCUCGAAUAAUAUGUUAAAAUGAUUUAUUUCAUAACUAAAUAACCGUAGCUCGGAUUUAAAUAAACUUUAUAUGUAGAUGGGGUAGAAAAAUGCCUAGUUUAACUUGGUGCACUUCAUUUUGCUGUUUAACAACAUUAAAAUUGCGUUUAUGGCAGAACAGCACCAAUCCCAAAAUAUGGACAUGAGGAUUUUCCGGAAUUGUUGUUGUUUGUUUCCGGCCUCAUUUAACUUGCUUAAAUAGGUAGUUUCCUUAUGCUUCACCUCUUGCCAUGGUUAACAACAUUUAACAUUGUUGGGUACAUAAACGAGAGAGAACUAAAUAAUUGAUGUGGUGUUUCGUCAAUAUGCAACUCGUUGCAUAUUGAGCUCCACUUAAUUUGUAGUAUUGUGUGUUGCACUUUGCCAUGCCAUGCCUCAUUAAACCGGACACGCAUCAUACUUGAUUGUGCAUCAUGCCAUGUUUAUGUUUGUGUGUUUACUUUGUUGUUUGUUUCUUUCCGGGUUGCUUCUCUCGUUAGCUUUGGUUUCGUUCCGGAGUUGUGAGGAUCCGUUCGACUACAUCCGUUUGUCUUCUUCAUGGACUCGUUCUUCUUCCUUGCGGGAUCUCAGGCAAGAUGACCACCCCUCGAAAUCACUUCUAUCUUUGCUUUGCUAGUUGCUCGUUCUAUUGCCAUGCUGCGCUACCUACCACUUGCUAUAUCAUGCCUCCCAUACUGCCAUGUCAGCCCCUAACCUUUUCACCCUUCCUAGCAAACCGUUGUUUGGCUAUGUUACCGCUUUUGCUCAGCCCCUCUUAUAGCGUUGCUAGUAGCAGGUGAAGACGAAGAUUGCUCCAUGUUGGAUUAUGUUUAUGUUGGGAUAUCACAAUAUCUCUUAUUUAAUUAAUGCAUCUAUAUACUUGGUAAAGGGUGGAAGGCUCGGCCUUAUGCCUGGUGUUUUGUUCCACUCUUGCCGCCCUAGUUUCCGUCAUACCGGUGUUAUGUUCCUUGAUUUUGCGUUCCUUACGCGGUUGGGUGAUUUAUGGGACCCCCUUGACAGUUCGCUUUGAAUAAAACUCCUCCAGCAAGGCCCAACCUUGGUUUUACCAUUUGCUACCACCUAUCCCCUUUUCCCUUGGGUUCUGCAGACUCAAGGGUCAUCUUUAUUUUAGACCCCCCCCCCCCGGGCCAGUGCUCCUUCGAGUGUUGGUCCGAACCGAGCAACCUGCGGGGCCACCUCGGGGAAACUCGAGGUCUGGUUUUACUCGUAGCUUGACUUAUCUGGUGUGCCCUGAGAACGAGAUAUGUGCAGCUCCUAUCGGGAUUUGUCGGCACAUUUGGGUGGCUUUGCUGGUCUUGUUUUACCAUUGUCGAAAUGUCUUGUAAACCGGGAUUCCGAGACUGAUCGGGUCUUUUCGGGAGAAGGUUUAUCCUUCGUUGACCGUGAGAGCUUAUGAUGGGCUAAGUUGGGACACCCUUGCAGGGUAUUAUCUUUCGAAAGCCGUGCCCGCGGUUAUGAGGCAGAUGGGAAUUUGUUAAUGUCCGGUUGUAGAGAACUUGUCACUUGACCCAAUUAAAAUACAUCAACUGUGUGUGUAGCCGUGAUGGUCUCUUCUCGGCGGAGUCCGGGAAGUGAACACGGUUUGAGUUAUGUAUAACGUAAGUAGGAGUUCAGGAUCACUUCUUGGUCAUUGCUAGAUGUCGACCGUUCCGUUACUCCUCUUCUCGCUCUUAUUUGCGUAUGUUAGCCACCAUAUUUGCUUAGUCGUUGUUGCAACCUCACCACCUUCCCCUUUCCUACCCUUAAGCUUGAAUAGUCUUGAUCUCGCGGGUGUGAGAUUGCGGAGUCCUCGUGACUCACAGAUACUUCCAAACAGUUGCAGGUGCCGAUGAGACCAGUGCAGGUGACGCAACUGAGCUCAAGUGGGAGCUCGAUGAAGAUCUUGUUCGAUGUGUUGUUUCUUUUCAUAUUGAUCAGUAGUGGUGCCCAGUUGGGACGAUCGGGGAUCUAGCAAUUGGGGUUGUCUUAUUUUCAUUUGGUUUUUGACCGUAGUCGGUCUAUAUGUAUGUAUUUUGGAUCAUGUAUGAUUUAUAUUUAUGUAUUGUGUGAAGUGGCGAUUGUAAGCCAACUCUUU